rnacentral:piRNA from 1 species
UCCACUCUCAUUAAUAUGGGUGG